rnacentral:rRNA from 1 species
GAGUUUGAUCCUGGCUCAGAUUGAACGCUGGCGGAAUGCUUUACACAUGCAAGUCGAACGGCAGCACGGGAGCUUGCUCCUGGUGGCGAGUGGCGAACGGGUGAGUAACAUAUCGGAACAUAUCCUAUCGUGGGGGAUAACUAGUCGAAAGACUAGCUAAUACCGCAUACGUCCUGAGGGAGAAAGCGGGGGCUCGCAAGACCUCGCGCGAUUGGAGUGGCCGAUAUCUGAUUAGCUAGAUGGUGAGGUAAAAGCUCACCAUGGCGACGAUCAGUAGCUGGUCUGAGAGGAUGAUCAGCCACACUGGGACUGAGACACGGCCCAGACUCCUACGGGAGGCAGCAGUGGGGAAUUUUGGACAAUGGGCGAAAGCCUGAUCCAGCCAUUCCGCGUGAGUGAAGAAGGCCUUCGGG